GACCUGGUGGUGAAAUGUCAUCACACCCGCUGUCUGUUCGUAGUUACCAUGAGAGAUGUAAGGCGGGAAUUCCCGGUUCGAUUCCGGGCCAGGCCA